CCAAUGUCCUUAACUAAAUGCGACGCCCCCGUUUUUUGUUAUAAUGUUAACUUUUAUUUUUUUUUCAUGGUUCGCUCGUAUCUUUGAUAUCAGUUGUUUUCAAUGCAACUGAAAUCGUUGGCAACGUUGACCAAAUUUGUCGCCAGUAUUAUAUUUAGAGGCUCCACCUAAUUAUAUUGAUCCGGUGGUGUGCACACGCGGUUUUGUUGUUACAUAUGCCCACAAAAAAUGUGUGAUUAAUCUGCCUAUCUUGGAUUUUUUGAAAUUUGGUUUAUUUCUCUUUAAUUAAAUAUUAUUUUAAUCCUCCUUAUCAACAACAGAAAUGCAGAUGAGACAUAAUUGAUUACUAAUUUUAUGGGUGGCAUACGCAGCAUUUAUGGAGAUGCAACUGUUGCUGUACUUGGUUGCAUAAUAGAUACAGCGGAUGGGGUUACCUCCCAGCAAUUUAUAUCAUUGUUUCUUUGCAUAAAUGUAAAUUUAUUUUAUUUAUUAUAUAUAUUAAUAUCAUAGCUUUAUCUUUAUAUGUCCACAUUCGUCUUUUAACUUUUAUCUAUUUCCGUAAAACUAUUUUUUAUUUUUGUUAUUUCUUGAUUCGUUACUUAUUAUUUAUUUUUUUAUUUUUAAUUUGUAUUUAUGUCUUAUCUAUAAACUCUUGGUAUCUAAUAAGCUUACCUAUGUUGUUAUCAAUCUAUUUAAUUAGCUUAUGUAUUUCGCUAGCAAUCUAUCUGUAUAUCUAUGUGUGCAACUAAUGAUCCCUCAAAUCUUUUUAACUUUUUUAUUGGUUUUUUUAAUGGAUUCUAUUUUUUUGUGUGUCUCAUCAUGCUUUCAUUUUAUUAUAUUCAAUGCACAAGUUAAUACUAAUAAAUACAUCACCUUAACAACCUGUGUCAUUCAAUUAAUGCUCAAUUUCGUUUGACUUAUGCAUGCUUCUGCGCCGAGUCUUUUUUACCAAAGAACAAGAAUAAGCCAAUUGGUGCGCUUCCCAAAUUGCCUUCGUAGGAUUCUUCUCUGAUCUUGCAUUUCUUUUCACAAACGGUGAGUGCUCUAACUUUUCAUAUCUCAUGUGUCAGCUAUUGUUGUGAUUUCUCCGCGCUUAUGCAAUCUAUUAUUUUGUGUUGGCUGGGAUAAACUUUCUUUCUAACUUUCUUGGUGGUACCAUAAACUUAAUUUUGUUAUCCAUCAUCGUGCACACGCCGUUUGGCCUAGCUGGAUGCUUCGUGUCAACUGGUUUCAUGUUGAAGAUGUUGCUUAAUAUUAUGUUGGAAUUAGCUCUGCAAUUGCGAUCUGCUUUUUUUUGUUGUUGACGAUUCACAUGAUUUUGCUUUCGUUGGGGCAUAACUCUCUCUCAUCUGCCAGUUUUCUAUUUCAGGAAACAUGUCCAACUCUUCUGCGUUAGGCCUUGCAUGCAGAUGCAUGGUUUUUCGUGUGGACCCAAUUUUGGUUCUUUUUUUACUCUAACAUGAUAUUAGCGUCUGUUCCAGGGAUUAUCAGAUCAUAUAUGAACAACUUUUUGUAGUAACAACAAAUUUUUUUUCAGGCCACCGUCGCUCUUCCACAUAAUUUUAAUAGUCAAUUCCGGGAUGAACUUUCCGCCGAGGUUAAAUUCAUUAAUUACUCAGGUCAUCAAUUCACCAUGGCGCUCCGAAAGACUCCUUCUCUUUGUCUCAUAGUUGGGGGAUUGACUUAGUUAAUUCAUGCUUAUAACAUUAAGGGAGGUUUGUUGGUUUUUCCUGGCUUAUGUUGGCAACGCGGAGUUUCUUAUCAUUCAUGUGUUGCGCGCUCACGCACAUUUGGUUGAUGAUGUCCUAUCGGUGGACGAACCAUUUUCUGUUAAUGAAAUUCUAGGGGAAAUAUGUAAUUUUCCCGAUUCUUUUAAAUCCAUGGUAGGUGAUGAUGAGGAUUUUUGCUAUCCAAUGAGUUUCAUUUGUAUUUGGUUUCUCCUUUACACCUCAAUGGUGAUGCAUACUCGAUCCAGUUAGCAUCUAGCGUAGAAAACAUGCCAACCUUUUGGUUAUUCUGGAGUUAUAUUUGACCCCCUGGACUGCGUUUGUCCUUGCAUCUUUUGAUUAUCGUGCUCUUAGUUCAAUCUUUGGUCGUUAUUCAGUUGUUUACCCAGGAAUUCUGCCCAGAUUGCUACCAAAUUGGGAGGUUGUUGUUGUUGACAAAAAAAUUUCUAAAUAUCAAGCCGAUGAGUAUAUUCUGACUCUCUCCAUCAGUUUUGUCGAAAGGGCUUUUUGUGUGAAACCUGCUCAAGUCGAUGUGGUUGACGAGGCCGGAGUUUGUUACACGGUGGAUGUUCGCUCCAAAUCCAGUUGGCCCCAAGAGUGCUAUCUUGGAAAGGGAUGGAGGUCUUUUUGUCACCACUAUAUGCUUCAAAUAGGGAGCAUAAUCAGACUAAUGGUUUAUUCCCUAAAGUACUGGCGUGUGCAUUGUCGUGUGUUAUCUAUUUGAUAUUUUGUUGAGUAAUACAGAAAACUAUGUACACAACAUUAACUGUGGAUACUGUUGUUGUGGGUUUGGGUCACAGAUUGGUGUUUGGUUUAUUCAUAGUGAGGUUCGGACCA